UACGGAGGGUGCGAGCGUUGUCCGGAAUCACUGGGCGUAAAGGGCGCGUAGGCGGCCUGUUAAGUCGGGGGUGAAAUCCUGCGGCUUAACCGCAGGGGUGCCUUCUAAACUGUCAGGCUAGAGCACAGUAGAGGCAGGUGGAAUUCCCGGUGUAGCGGUGGAAUGCGUAGAGAUCGGGAAGAACAUCAGUGGCGAAAGCGGCUCAUUGGACUAUAACUGACGCUGAGGCGCGAAAGCGAGGGGAGCAAACAGG
rnacentral:rRNA from 1 species